AUUGAACGCUGGCGGCAUGCUUUACACAUGCAAGUCGAACGGUAACAGGUUAAGCUGACGAGUGGCGAACGGGUGAGUAAUGCAUCGGAACGUGCCCGAUCGUGGGGGAUAACGCAGCGAAAGCUGCGCUAAUACCGCAUACGAUCUGAGGAUGAAAGCGGGGGCCCGUAAGGCCUCGCGCGAUCGGAGCGGCCGAUGUCAGAUUCGGUAGUUGGUGGGGUAAAGGCUCACCAAGCCAACGAUCUGUAGCUGGUCUGAGAGGACGACCAGCCACACUGGGACUGAGACACGGCCCAGACUCCUACGGGAGGCAGCAGUGGGGAAUUUUGGACAAUGGGCGAAAGCCUGAUCCAGCAAUGCCGCGUGCAGGAAGAAGGCCUUCGGGUUGUAAACUGCUUUUGUACGGAGCGAAAAGGCUCUCUCUAAUACAGGGGGCUCAUGACGGUACCGUAAGAAUAAGCACCGGCUAACUACGUGCCAGCAGCCGCCGUAA
rnacentral:rRNA from 1 species